CAAAGGCUUGGUCCUGACUUUGCUAUCAACUUUAGCUAAGCUUACACAUGCGAGUAUCCGCAACCCCGUGAGGAUGCCCACAGUUCCCUGGAUGGGAACAAGGAGCCGGUAUCAGGCACGAAAUUUCUCAGCCCACGACACCUUGCUCAGCCACACCCCUAAGGGAUUUCAGCAGUGACAGAUAUUAAGCUAUGAGUGAAAACUUGACUUAGCUAGUGCUAACAGGGUUGGUAAAUCUCGUGCCAGCCACCGCGGUUAUACGAGGGACCCAAGUUGACAGCCGCCGGCGUAAAGAGUGGUUAAGACAAGACCUUAAACUAAAGUCGAACGGCCUCAGAGCUGUUAUAAGCUUAUGAAAGCAUGAAGCCCAAUAACGAAAGUGACUUUAACUCUUCUGACCCCACGAAAGCUAGGGCACAAACUGGGAUUAGAUACCCCACUAUGCCUAGCCCUAAACAUCGAUAGUCAUCUACCUGCACUAUCCGCCCGGGUACUACGAGCACCAGCUUAAAACCCAAAGGACUUGGCGGUGCUUUAGAUCCACCUAGAGGAGCCUGUUCUAGAACCGAUAAUCCCCGUUAAACCUCACCCUUCCUUGUCUCUCCCGCCUAUAUACCGCCGUCGUCAGCUUACCCUGUGAAGGCCAAAUAGUAAGCAAAACUGGCACUGCCCAAAACGUCAGGUCGAGGUGUAGCGAAUGGAGGGGGAAGAAAUGGGCUACAUUCAAUACCCUGCAAUGAAUACGAAUGGUGAACUGAAAACUUCACCUGAAGGAGGAUUUAGUAGUAAGCAGAAAACAGAGUGUUCUGCUGAAUUUGGCCCUGAAGCGCGCACACACCGCCCGU
rnacentral:ncRNA from 1 species